rnacentral:misc_RNA from 1 species
UCACUACUUGCGUAGGCAGUCUGGCUAGAGUCCCCACCAUUACGUGCUGGUAACUAACCACAGGGGUUGCGCUCGUUGCGCCACUUAAGGCAACACCUCACGGCACGAGCUGACGACAGCCAUGCAGCACCUUCCAUGAUGCCCCGAAGGGAAGCCCCGUUUCGGGGGCGGUCAUCACGGAUUUAGCCCGGGUAAGGUGGGGAUGACGUUCCUUACAGCGUAC